AACUCUCCAAAAAAGGAGUAGCAUUACCAAGACAGGCAUGAGUAGGGCUGAAAGCAAGGUAUUACUAUUAUAAUUCAUUUUGUUGUACCCUGCAACCUGCUAAUUUUUAUACCGUAUUGUCAUGAAAGUAUUUAGAGUUCAAUUUAUGGGAGCCUGUGUACCGAACUGCUGAAUUAUCAUGUAGAUCUAAAUAGUAAUGAAUUAAGGGCAGACUGUUUUUGUACUUUAUUCCACGGAAAUUGCAGUCAGUUAUCUUGAUAACAUAUCUCGAUUCUUAUGUCCUAACUAUUAUUUCUUUAGAAAUUUGAGAAGAUUUCUGUAGAUUGGUGGUGAAAUCCAAGAUGCUCGAUUUCUUCUUGGACGUGGACAAGCCCCGCUAAGGUAUAGUAGAUCUCACAGAGAAUCCUUCACAAUUAGGACCUUGUUAAAAAGGUAUAUUUGCUAACAAAAACAAGGAUCCAUUUUGAUGGUUGAUUUCAGGGAAGUGCAAUACGCUGGCAUGACAAAUAAUAGGUUCACAAGCGAUCCCCCUGAACUAUAUUUUCUAAUGCUAUUUCCUUCACUGUUGAUUUCAGGGAAAUCGAAAUUCACACAGGAGUAAGAGAGCAAGAACCGUGUAUGUACAAAGGGAUCAGGAGGAGCAGCUGGCCGCUUCAUCUCUCUUCCUGUCUCGUUAGUUUAGCUUGAGCAGGUGACCGCUUCAACCAUGUUUUUCUGAAUAAUUUGAUAUACUAUCAUUUUUCAGGUUCCAAUCUUGUAUACAUAGAAUAUGGUUGAUCGUCUGCAGAGUGCAGAGAAAGGACCAGAUGUUGUGCGAAGCAAAUAAGUGCUUCAGAAGAAAAAUGCAGGCUCAUCCAUGGUGGCGCCACCUCCAGCAUCAGACAAGGUGUCACCGGCUGUCGUGUUCAACACCCACUUGUUGGCCCUUCGCUCAGGUUGCUGCAAACAAAAGGGUACAAACUUCUCCAGCUUAAACACAGG